rnacentral:lncRNA from 1 species
UGGCUGGUCUCCGAAGGUGCAAAGAAUUUAAUAAUAGGUACGGAAUUUGAGUUAUCCAUAAAGAUAAAAAUAAAAAGAUAAAAGAAUAAAAGUAUAAAAGUAUAAUACAAGAUAAUAGCAAAACUCAAAGUUAUCUCAGCAAACCGUCUUUCUCCCCGGCAAUGGCGCCAGAAAUUCUUGUUGAUAUUUGGUAACGCAAUAAGGAAAUGAUCUGCAAG